rnacentral:lncRNA from 1 species
UUUCUAGGUGUGUGGCAUUAGAUGUGAUAACACAAAGAAAAAAGAAGGGGUGAGCAAAGGCUGCAUUGAGCUCCUUGGUGGGCAGCUCUGCAGCUGUGACCUCUGGACUCAUAACUGGCUUUUUAGCCUCAUACAGCUUCUGCACUUAACUUCACAUUGAUGGCAAGGCCCUCGGCAAUGCCCCCUGGCAUUUUUCAAAGUUUUCUGCACACAGAAGUCUUAUUCCUUUUUAUUAACCAACUGAUAUAUUCCUCCCUCCUUCCCGACCCCACACGCAGUAUGUUAAACCUCACCUCACGGAGCUCCUGGCCUUGGCAUCCGCGUGGACCUGCACAGAGGGUCCUGCCAGGCGGUGAAUUUGUACUG